rnacentral:rRNA from 1 species
UACGUAGGGACCAAGCGUUGUUCGGAUUUACUGGGCGUAAAGGGCGCGUAGGCGGCGUGGUAAGUCACUUGUGAAAUCUCUGAGCUUAACUCAGAACGGUCAAGUGAUACUGCUGUGCUAGAGUGCGGAAGGGGCAAUCGGAAUUCUUGGUGUAGCGGUGAAAUGCGUAGAUAUCAAGAGGAACACCUGAGGUGAAGACGGGUUGCUGGGCCGACACUGACGCUGAUGCGCGAAAGCCAGGGGAGCGAACGGG